GCGGGCGUAGCUCAGCCGGUCAGAGCACCAGGUUGUGGUCCUGGGGGUCGUGGGUUCGAAUCCCACCGCUCGCCCCA
rnacentral:tRNA from 1 species